rnacentral:rRNA from 1 species
CCUACGGGAGGCUGCAGUGGGGAAUAUUGGACAAUGGGGGGAACCCUGAUCCAGCCAUGCCGCGUGUGUGAAGAAGGCCCUCGGGUUGUAAAGCACUUUCAGUGAGGAAGAACGCCUGGUGGUUAAUACCCAUCAGGAAAGACAUCACUCACAGAAGAAGCACCGGCUAACUCCGUGCCAGCAGCCGCGGUAAUACGGAGGGUGCGAGCGUUAAUCGGAAUUACUGGGCGUAAAGCGCGCGUAGGUGGCUUGAUAAGCCGGUUGUGAAAGCCCCGGGCUCAACCUGGGAACGGCAUCCGGAACUGUCAAGCUAGAGUGCAGGAGAGGAAGGUAGAAUUCCCGGUGUAGAGGUGAAAUGCGUAGAGAUCGGGAGGAAUACCAGUGGCGAAGGCGGCCUUCUGGACUGACACUGACACUGAGGUGCGAAAGCGUGGGUAGCAAACAGGAUUAGAUACCCCUGUAGUC